GAGCCAUUAGCUCAGUUGGGAGAGCAUCUGACUUUUAAUCAGAGGGUCAGAGGUUCGAAUCCUCUAUGGCUCAC
rnacentral:tRNA from 1 species